rnacentral:rRNA from 1 species
UACACAUGCAAGUCGAGGGGUAACAGGAAUAGCUUGCUAUUCGCUGACGACCGGCGCACGGGUGCGUAACGCGUAUAGAAUCUACCUUUUACUAAGGGAUAGCCUUUAGAAAUGAAGAUUAAUACCUUAUAGUAUUAUAGACUGGCAUCAGUUUAUACUUAAAGAUUUAUUGGUAAAAGAUGACUAUGCGUUCUAUUAGCUAGAUGGUAAGGUAACGGCUUACCAUGGCUACGAUAGAUAGGGGUCCUGAGAGGGAGAUCCCCCACACUGGUACUGAGACACGGACCAGACUCCUACGGGAGGCAGCAGUGAGGAAUAUUGGGCAAUGGAGGCAACUCUGACCCAGCCAUGCCGCGUGCAGGAAGACGGCCCUAUGGGUUGUAAACUGCUUUUAUACAGGAAGAAACACUCCCUCGUGAGGGAGCUUGACGGUACUGUAAGAAUAAGCACCGGCUAACUCCGUGCCAGCAGCCGCGGUAAUACGGAGGGUGCAAGCGUUAUCCGGAAUCAUUGGGUUUAAAGGGUCCGCAGGCGGUCAAUUAAGUCAGAGGUGAAAUCCCAUAGCUUAACUAUGGAACUGCCUUUGAUACUGGUUGACUUGAGUUAUACGGAAGUAGAUAGAAUGUGUAGUGUAGCGGUGAAAUGCAUAGAGAUUACACAGAAUACCGAUUGCGAAGGCAGUCUACUACGUAUAUACUGACGCUCAUGGACGAAAGCGUGGGGAGCGAACAGGAUUAGAUACCCUGGUAGUCCACGCCGUAAACGAUGGACACUAGUUGUUGGGAUUUAUCUCAGUGACUAAGCGAAAGUGAUAAGUGUCCCACCUGGGGAGUACGGUCGCAAGAUUGAAACUCAAAGGAAUUGACGGGGGCCCGCACAAGCGGUGGAGCAUGUGGUUUAAUUCGAUGAU